UACAGAGACUGCAAGCGUUAUUCGGAAUUACUGGGCGUAAAGGGCGCGUAGGUGGCCUUCUAAGUUGAACGUGAAAUCCCUGGGCUCAACCCAGGAACUGCGUCCAAGACUGGGAGGCUUGAAUCCGGGAGAGGGAUGCGGAAUUCCAGGUGUAGCGGUGAAAUGCGUAGAUAUCUGGAGGAACACCGGUGGCGAAGGCGGCAUCCUGGACCGGUAUUGACACUGAGGCGCGAAAGCCAGGGGAGCAAACGGG
rnacentral:rRNA from 1 species